UACGUAGGGUGCAAGCGUUGUCCGGAAUUAUUGGGCGUAAAGAGCUCGUAGGCGGCUUGUCGCGUCGUCCGUGAAAACUCACAGCUCAACUGUGAGCUUGCGGUCGAUACGGGCAGGCUGGAGUUCUGGAGGGGAUAGCGGAAUUCCUGGUGUAGCGGUGAAAUGCGUAGAGAUGUGGAGGAACACCGAUGGCGAAGGCAGCCCCCUGGUCAAGAUUGACGCUCAUGCACGAAAGCGUGGGGAGCAACAGG
rnacentral:rRNA from 1 species